UACAGAGGGCGCGAGCGUUGUCCGGAAUUACUGGGCGUAAAGGGCUCGUAGGCGGCCAACUAAGUCCGACGUGAAAUCCCCAAGCUUAACUUGGGAACUGCGUCGGAUACUGGAUGGCUUGAAUUCGGGAGAGGGAUGCAGAAUUCCAGGUGUAGCGGUGAAAUGCGUAGAUAUCUGGAGGAAUACCGGUGGCGAAGGCGGCAUCCUGGACCGACAUUGACGCUGAGGAGCGAAAGCUAGGGGAGCAAACGGG
rnacentral:rRNA from 1 species